rnacentral:rRNA from 1 species
CAGGCCUAACACAUGCAAGUCGAACGGAGAUAUAUGUAGGAAGUUUUCGGAUGGAAUAUAUAUAUCUUAGUGGCGGACGGGUGAGUAACGCGUAAACAAUCUGCCUUAGAGAGGGGGAUAACAGAUAGAAAUAUUUGCUAAUACCGCAUAAGACCAAGCUUGGCAUCAAGCAAUGGUAAAAGGAGCAAUCCGCUUUAAGAUGAGUUUGCGUACUAUUAGCUAGUUGGUGAGGUAACGGCCCACCAAGGUGACGAUGGUUAGCCGGCCUGAGAGGGUGAACGGCCACAUUGGAACUGAGAUACGGUCCAGACUCCUACGGGAGGCAGCAGUGAGGAAUAUUGGGCAAUGGGCGAAAGCCUGACCCAGCAACGCCGCGUGAAGGAAGAAGGUUUUCGGAUUGUAAACUUCUGUUAUAGGGGAAAAGGAAAGUGAUGGUACCCUAUGAGAAAGCUACGGCAAACUAUGUGCCAGCAGCCGCGGUAAUACAUAGGUAGCGAGCGUUAUCCGGAAUAACUGGGCGUAAAGGGAGUGUAGGUGGCGUUUCAAGUCUUAUGUGAAAGCCCUCGGCUUAACUGAGGGAUUGCAUAAGAAACUAGAAUGCUAGAGUGCGAGAGAGGCAAGUGGAAUUCCUAGUGUAGCGGUAGAAUGCGUAGAGAUUAGGAGGAACACCAGAGGCGAAGGCGACUUGCUGGUUCGCAACUGACACUGAGACUCGAAAGCGUGGGGAGCAAACAGGAUUAGAUACCCUGGUAGUCCACGCCCUAAACGAUGGAUACUAGAUGUGUGAUGAAUCGACUCAUUGCGUAUCGAAGCUAACGCGAUAAGUAUCCCGCCUGAGUAGUACGGCCGCAAGGUUGAAACUUAAAGGAAUUGACGGGGACCCGCACAAGCAGCGGAGCAUGUCGUUUAAUUCGACGCAACACGAAGAACCUUACCAAGGCUUGACAUCGGAUGCAUAGUAUGGAAACAUAUGAAGUUUGUUGUAGUAAUACAAUAGACAUCCAGACAGAUGGUGCAUGGUUGUCGUCAGCUCGUGUCGUGAGAUGUUGGGUUAAGUCCCGCAACGAGCGCAACCCUUGUCAUUAGUUGCUAAUAUUAAGUUAAGGACUCUAAUGAGACUGCCGUAGAUAAUACGGAGGAAGGUGGGGAUGACGUCAAAUCAUCAUGCCUCUUACGCCUUGGGCAACAAACGUGCUACAAUGGUGACCACAAAGAGAAGCGAGAUAGUAAUAUGGAGCGAACCUCAAAAAGGUCAUCUCAGUUCAGAUUGUGGGCUGCAACCCGCCCACAUGAAGAUGGAGUUGCUAGUAAUCCCGAAUCAGCAUGUCGGGGUGKUUCGUUCCCGG